GCUAAAGAUUGGUUAUUUUAUUUACCACCUGGAUCUAUCACUUCUUGGGAUGAUAUGGUAAUAGUUUUUCUAAACAAAUACUUCCCAACUUCUAAAGCCAUUGGCAUAAGAAGAGAGAUCAGUAGCAUUAGACAGAAACAAUUUGAGGAUUUAUAUGACUAUUGGGAAAGGUUCAAAAGAUUGUGUACAGGUUGUCCUCAACAUGAUAUCUCAGACAAGUCACUCAUAGAAUUCUUCUAUGGAGGUUUGCUACCAUCUAAAAGGAGAUUCAUUGAUGUGGCAUGUGGAGGUUUCAUUGCAGAUAAGACACCUAGGGAGAUGAGAGAGUUGAUCUUAAUACUUGCAACCUCAUCUAGGCAAUAUGAAGAAGAAAAGCAACUAUAGAGAGGAGCCAAUAAGGUAAGUACAUCCACUAUUUCCUCUCAGCUUUCUGAACUGACCUCUGUUAUGAAAAAUUUUGUCUUAGGUCAAACUCAACAGGCUCAGCCACCCCAGCGACCUCGGCCAUGUGGGAUUUGUGCAUAUGUAGGACACCUAACUGAUCAAUAUCCUACUCUUCAAGAAGAUAUCCAGCAAGUGAAUGCCAUUGGAUGAUACAACAGUCAGGUAAGACAUGAUUCAUAUUCUAACACCUACAAUCCAGGUUGGAGAGACCACCCCAAUUUCAGUUAUAGAAGGGCUAACAACAACCAGAACUAUCAGAGUUAUCAAAGAAAUCAAGCCCAACCAGCACCUCCAAGUUUCAACCAGCACCUUGAGAAGAUGAUAGAGACAUUGGCAAACUCUGUACAAACUCUCCAACAAUAGGUGGGACAGAUGGCAAUAUCUAUGAGCAAGUCUGAAUCCUAAGGUAAGCUGCCUUCCCAAACUGAAACUAAUCCUAGAUAGAAUAUCAGUGCUAUCAUAUUAAGAAGUGGAAAAGAGCUUCAAGAUGCCAAAUCUGAUUAAGAAAGACCAAGGGCGCAAGAGCAAGUUGUUUUAGAAGACCAACCGACGCACCACCUUUCCAAGCCGAAUGAGCAAGCCAAAUAGGUUCAUCAGCCAAAUAUAAAUCAGCAAGUGCACUGAAAGAUACGAGAGUAGUAAUUCAGUUGGCUGACCGAUCUGUGGUGUAUCCAAAAGGAGUUCUAGAAGAUGUUCUAGUGCAAGUAGAUGAACUUGUCUUUCCAGCAGACUUUUAUGUGAUUGAUACAAAAGAAGACAAUUGUAACACUUUUUCAGACAUCCUUCUUGGACGACCUUUCUUAAGUACAGCCAGGACUAAGAUAGAUGUGCAUGAUGGCACUCUCACUAUGGAAUUUGAAGGGGAAGUGAUUAAGUUUAAUGUUUAUGAUGCAAUGAAAUAUCCCCAUAAUAUGUCCCCUGUUUAUGGUCUUGAUAUUAUUGAUUGCUUGAGUCAGGAAAUUUUUUAUAUGAAUCAAGAUGAUAUACUAAAAAGUGACCUUUGCAGGAAAGAGAGCCAGAAAGAGCUAGGACUGAAAGAAACAGUCUGCAGCAUCCAGCAGAUGAGCUGCAGACAAGCGCAGAAAGGGAAGGGACCAAUUACACCUCUUCAGAUCAAUUCGCAGAAGAGCCUUAUGCAGACAGAGGGCACUCCAACUGAACCACCUUAGCUUGAACCGUAGGACAGUCCUGCAAUACACCCCUUUCAGACAGGUCUUGCGCAGAAGGAAGAGGCUGAAUCCAAUUUAGCCAUAUAGCCAACACAAACAGCCCAUGCGCAUAAGGAAUAAAAAGAUUUCCAAUUGCCCAAAGCAAAGGAGCAUGAGGAACACUUUCUACCCAAGCCACCAGAUAAGGCAAAAUCUUGUCUGCCUAAACAGAAGCUCUCCAUGUGGCAACCUCCUGAAUGUGUAGAAAGCGACUUCCCCUUUGAUAGGCCCAAGCACACAAAAGACAAAAUCAAGAAGACUGCAAAACAUGAUGUUUGGGAGGAACCAUGCCUAAAACCAUACUAUGAAGGAUUCACAGUGCAAGUGGUGGAAGAAAUUCCACUACAUCAUCCCUCUCAGUCUGUCUAGGCGAUCGCACCAUGCAACACCACACCAGGGGAGUACUCAGUUUCUUUUGUAUUUUAAUAUUUCUUAUACAUUGAGGACAAUGCAUGAUUUAGGUGUGGGGGUGCAUAUUUCUGAAUUUUUAUUUUUGCUUUCAUUUUCAGUUUGAAUUUUUUUUUUCAUUUUUUGUGUGAUUUUUUUUCAUUUUUGAUUUCAAUAACACACAUGAACCACAGUCUUCUUUUUGAUUUGCUUCACUCAAACUCUUAGACUAUGUUGAAUGAGCUUUCUUCCCAUGACACCAUUGAUAUGAUGACUCUUUAAACUUAAGUUGAAUCAAUUG